UUACACCUGCCACAUUUCAUUUUUAUACAGGUUCAUAUUAACCUUCUGUACUACAAAGUGUUGUCCUCUUUCAUGGCGACUCAGACUGAGUUCCUGAGAAGACACCUCACGUCCCCCCUUAAUAAAAAGGCAGAAGGACAUACAGUCUAAACAAAAUGACGCCAGAGGAUUUGAACCUUCUCCACGUGUCUGCUUACCCUCUUCCCUUACCAACAGUCUUCCAUCAUCAAGAUAUUAGGGGUGAAGGGGACUCAUUUUUCAUCUGAGUGCUUGGAAGAUCUGUGAUGAUAUACAAGUGGUGCAUACAGAAAAAGUUACCAUCUGUUACUCCUGGAAAUAAAACUGCAGGCACAAGUGCA
rnacentral:lncRNA from 1 species